rnacentral:lncRNA from 1 species
AUGCCACUAUUAUUAUUUACUAGGAAGCUCCUUACAAGAAAAGGAGCAGAUGCAGGGCAGGUUAUAAUCUCAACACAUUUUUGGACGUGCUCCACUGAACUAUUUUCUUCUCAAUCACAAUAUUUGGAGUGURUGCAAUGAAUUUCAGAGCAUUUCAGGAAGAUAUCAUCCCUGUUUAGCAAAAUGAAAAGUAUUUGGUCCAGGAUCACCUAAUGAGUCACUGGAGAGAUGAGAAUAUAACUACAAGUCCUGUGCUCUAGCUGUUAAAUCGCUCAUUCUUUCCUUUAUUGUGUACAUAGGAACAKAAGUAUUAUCAGGUGAGUAUGUACUAAAAUAUUGGCAAAUACAGUAUUUUAGUAGAAUUCUGAAUUUUUAGUAUAUGUUACAGUACUGGGAAGUUGAUUUAUCAUUACUGGCAACAAAAUAGACUAAGACCAGAAACAGUAAGUAGUUUAAGUGGCUGUGAUUGGCAAACCACUUUAUCAUGCUAAGUAGCUAAGUAAUGUUAUAACACGUGGCUUUGUUUUCUUUGUGCCCUUUAGUAUUCCCAUGUAAUAUUUAUCUAGGAGGUGACUAUGCUUUCCUUGGAUCAUUGGGAAGAUUCACAUUGACUGUACUAUCAGUGGGCCUGGACUUUAAACCUAGUCUAAAUUUAAAGGCACUCCCAUAAAAUGCACAAGCCCUGACCUUGCAAUUUGGUUCACAUAGGAAGAUCCUCAUGCUUACAGGGCUCCAAUUAAGUCAACAAGGCAAGGCAUCAGUACUGAUCUUGUGUGAUUGGAUUACAGGAUUGAAGCUGUGAUUUGCCCUCCUAAAACCACUUUAAUUUACUUAAACAGAUAAAUCCUAGUAUCAGAUUUCUUGUUGACUAUACUUUCUGAAAUGCAAAAAAGAUCAACUUGCCUGCUUUCUUCAAAUUUUGAAUGGACUACUUCACCUCCUAGUUCUGGAUUUUGAUAAGGUGUGUGUAGGAGGACUGAAGAGAUAACAGAAAUAACAACUGAGGAAAAAAUAGUAAAAGUAUAAUUUCCCUUUCCUGUAAAACUGAUGCAAAAUACUUCUUUCUUUUUAUUCCCUCUAAGCCCUUUUCUAAUACUUAUUUAACCCCACCUCAAAAAAAAAAAAAAGUGGGAGCCUGAGC